CUACGGGACGCAGCAGUGGGGAAUAUUGGACAAUGGGGGAAACCCUGAUCCAGCAAUGCCGCGUGUGUGAAGAAGGCCUGCGGGUUGUAAAGCACUUUCGGUUGGGAGGACUGCUUCUAGCACUAAUAUUGUUGGAAGUUGACGUUACCUUCAGAAGAAGCACCGGCUAACUCCGUGCCAGCAGCCGCGGUAAUACGGAGGGUGCAAGCGUUAAUCGGAAUUACUGGGCGUAAAGCGCGGUAGGCGGCUAGAUCAGUCGGGUGUGAAAGCCCCGGGCUUAACCUGGGAACUGCAUCCGAUACUGUCUAGCUUGAGUACAGGAGAGGAGAGUGGAAUUCCACAUGUAGCGGUGAAAUGCGUAGAUAUGUGGAGGAACACCAAUGGCGAAGGCAGCUCUCUGGCCUGAUACUGACGCUGAGGUGCGAAAGCGUGCGGAGCAAACAGGAUUAGAUACCCGCGUAGUC
rnacentral:rRNA from 1 species